rnacentral:rRNA from 1 species
UACAGAGACUGCAAGCGUUAUUCGGAUUCACUGGGCGUAAAGGGCGCGUAGGCGGCCUUCUAAGUCGAACGUGAAAUCCCUGGGCUCAACCCAGGAACUGCGUCCGAUACUGGGAGGCUUGAAUCCGGGAGAGGGAUGUGGAAUUCCAGGUGUAGCGGUGAAAUGCGUAGAUAUCUGGAGGAACACCGGUGGCGAAGGCGGCAUCCUGGACUGGUACUGACGCUCAGGAGCGAAAGCGUGGGGAGCGAUCCGG